rnacentral:tRNA from 1 species
ACAUUGAUGGUUUAGUGGUAGACUUCCAGCCUCAUGCAGGAGACCUGGGUUCGAUCCCCAGUUAUUGCA